rnacentral:rRNA from 1 species
AACGAACGCUGGCGGCAGGCUUAACACAUGCAAGUCGAACGAUGUAGCAAUACAUAGUGGCGCACGGGUGAGUAACGCGUGGGAAUGUACCUUUUAGUGGGGGAUAACUCCGGGAAACUGGAGCUAAUACCGCAUACGCCCUUCGGGGGAAAGAUUUAUCGCUAAAGGAUCAGCCCGCGUGAGAUUAUGGUAGUUGGUGAGGUAAUGGCUCACCAAGCCGACGAUCUCUAGCUGGUCUGAGAGGACGACCAGCCACACUGGAACUGAGACACGGUCCAGACUCCUACGGGAGGCAGCAGUGGGGAAUAUUGGGCAAUGGAGGCAACUUUGACCCAGCCAUGCCGCGUGAGUGGUGAAGGCUCUAGGGUUGUAAAGCUCUUUCGCCGAUGAAGAUAAUGACGGUAGUCGGAGAAGAAGCCCCGGCUAACUUCGUGCCAGCAGCCACUGUAA